rnacentral:rRNA from 1 species
GACGAACCGUGCGAACGUUGUUCGGAAUCACUGGGCUUAAAGGGCGCGUAGGCGGGCUGCCAAGUCCGUAGGUGAAAUCCCCCGGCUCAACCGGGGAACGGCCUCGGAUACUGGCGGCCUCGAGGGGGUAGGGGCGUGCGGAACUGUGGGUGGAGCGGUGAAAUGCGUUGAGAUCCACAGGAACUCCGGUGGCGAAGGCGGCACGCUGGACCCUUUCUGACGCUGAGGCGCGAAAGCCAGGGGAGCGAACGGG